UGCCGCGUGCAGGAUGACGGUCCUAUGGAUUGUAAACUGCUUUUGUACAGGAAGAAACACUGGUUCGUGAACCAGCUUGACGGUACUGUAAGAAUAAGGAUCGGCUAACUCCGUGCCAGCAGCCGCGGUAAUACGGAGGAUCCAAGCGUUAUCCGGAAUCAUUGGGUUUAAAGGGUCCGUAGGCGGUUUAAUAAGUCAGUGGUGAAAGCCCAUCGCUCAACGGUGGAACGGCCAUUGAUACUGCUAAACUUGAAUUAUUAGGAAGUAACUAGAAUAUGUAGUGUAGCGGUGAAAUGCUUAGAGAUUACAUGGAAUACCAAUUGCGAAGGCAGGUUACUACUAAUGGAUUGACGCUGAUGGACGAAAGCGUGGGUAGCGAACAGGAUUAGAUACCCUGGUAGUCCACGCCGUAAACGAUGGAUACUAGCUGUUGGAAGCAAUUUCAGUGGCUAAGCGAAAGUGAUAAGUAUCCCACCUGGGGAGUACGUUCGCAAGAAUGAAACUCACAGGAAUUGACGGGGGCCCGCACAAGCGGUGGAGCAUGUGGUUUAAUUCGAUGAUACGCGAGGAACCUUACCAAGGCUUAAAUGUAGAUUGACCGUUUUGGAAACAGAACUUU
rnacentral:rRNA from 1 species